rnacentral:rRNA from 1 species
AUUGAACGCUGGCGGCAGGCCUAACACAUGCAAGUCGAACGAGUGGCGGACGGGUGAGUGAUGUCUGGGACACUGCCUGAUGGAGGGGGAUAACUACUGGAAACGGUAGCUAAUAACGCCUACCAUCGGAUGUGCCGAGAUGGGAUUAGCUAGUUGGUGGGGUAAAGGCUCACCUAGGAGACGAUCCAUAGCUGGUCUGAGAGGAUGACCAGCCACACUGGAACUGAGAUACGGCCCAGACUCCUACCGGAGGCAGCAGUGGGGAAUAUUGUACAAUGGGCGCAGCCCUGAUGCAGCCAUGCCUCGUGUAUGAAGAAGGGCUUCGGGUUGUAAAGUACUUCCAGCUGAGAAGCUUUAUCCGCAGAAGAAGCACCGGCUAACUCCGUGCCAGCAGCCGCGGUAAUAC